rnacentral:rRNA from 1 species
UACGUAUGGUGCAAGCGUUAUCCGGAUUUACUGGGCGUAAAGGGAGCGUAGGUGGCAAGGCAAGCCAGAAGUGAAAACCCUGGGCUCAACCGAGGGAUUGCUUUUGGAACUGUUUAGCUGGAGUGCAGGAGGGGUAAGCGGAAUUCCUGGUGUAGAGGUGAAAUUCGUAGAUAUCAGGAGGAACACCGGAGGCGAAGGCGGCUUACUGGACUGCUACUGACACUGAGGCUCGAAAGCGUGGGGAGCAAAC